AGGCUACUCGUGGGUGCUACCACCUAAUUGGGGGUGGUAUGAAUGUGUGUCUGGGUGCGUAUGUGCACGCGCGCGUGCGUGCAUGUUGAGGAUGGUUUACUAGACAGAUGUACCCCUUGCGUUCCUCCUGCCUCGAAACUCUAUUUUAAAAAUAGCUAAUGGCAAAGUAUGGCUCUUGAAAACUGAAAAGCGAGUGAUGUUUAUUCGCAGUUCUGGGGAGGGAAUCCGGUGCUUUCAUACUGCACUGUAUCUCCCACCGAUUUUUAAACUUUAAUUUGGGGACAGAGUCUCAUGAAGUCACUGAGCUACCCAGACUGGCCUCAGAUUUGCCAUCUUCCAACUCAGCCUCCCAGAACGCUGGGAAUCACAGAGUGAGAAUAGUUGCUGCUGGCACAGACCGGCUUGAAGAGAAAAGGAAUGAGCGGGUGGAGACUGGACCCGGCCUUAUUGACUUGCUUCCAAGGGCAGGGACCUGGGCCGCUUCACAUAAACUGUGUUCUGCACCCUGGACUCAAUGCUUCCUGCAGAACAAAUGCAUGGUCCACUUCUCCUGGUGAAUGAGGGGAUUUCUCAGAAUAAAGUUUUUGUCAGGAGCAAUCAAGACAGCUGCCGAUUCUCUGCGCCUCAAAGUGGGUCUUUUCUGAAUGUCUCCCAGCAGAGGACGAGUCUCAGCGACAGCAAUCCUGAAUCCCAACUGCACAGCUUUGAAUGGAAGGGUAGGAACUCCUCCCUGUUCCUGGCAGGCUAAUCCCGUCCCUCCCAAAACUGCCCUGUCCCUCUUGGGUGUGGGAGGAAAACCAGAAAUUCCCGGGGGAAGGUGGACUCCUUGUGAGUGAGUUCACAUCGCCCUCUUGUGCCUGAGUCACACUCGACAAGGCAACUUCUGGCCUCUGCUGAAGGCCGCAGAAGCCUAAGGCCUCAUCAGGAGCAGAGAACAAACACUGAGCUCCCCAGAAUGCCCAGAAUAUUUUGAGGGAUGGUAUGGAUAAUGACCCAACCCAGAGCCCUGCACAUUAAAAAGCAAUAAUAAUCAAAUGUGGUAAAACCCAAAUUCUAGAAUGCACAGGUUAGAAAUUUUACCUUCUCACAGAGAUGAGCAUUUUCCAUAAACUGAAAGUUCAAGGUUCAAGUGUAAACUAGAAAUGCGAAGGUGCUCUCCUAACAAUUUUAGGUUAAACACAUUGGCCUUUCCAGAUCCCUUUCUAGCCUGUCAGGGGUUAUGGUCUACACCCACACUCACACGGAUGAGCUACACCUGUCCCCACCCACAGCAUCCGCAGCCUCCAUCACUGAGUAAGCUGAUCUUCCCCUCCUUCUCAUGCAGAAAGAAGGUCCCGGGUCGCCAUCCAGGCAGCUGUGGCAAGCUGUUGCCACCAACAACUCCAUCUUGCUUUGUUUGGUUUUCUGUCUCACUCUCAGAAUCUGACCUUUACUCUGCAUUGCUGUGAUCUUGCUUUUUUUGAGCUGUUGUUUGCAGAAACCGGAUGUGGUGGUUAACCACGAAACUGACCUGGAACUGGUACAUCCGGCCCUCGAGAUAAAAGAUGCCGUUCAGCUCCUCCAGUGUGUGCCUAAACCCCAGAUCACCUGACUCAAGCUCCUGGAAAAUGCUAAUUCUUGCUUGUCACUCUAAGCUGAUCCAUAUAGAAAUAUUUGCCACGUCCCCAAAGACUUGCAAGGUGAUAUAUGGGACAUUGAAAUCUCUGCCUCUUUCAGCGAGCAUCCUCAAUAGAGCCCGCUUUCUUGCUCCCCGGCACUGGUCUUAGCAUGGACGUUCUGUGUGCCAAGCUUCUGGGGUUGAGCUUGGACCUCGGACCAUGCCCUCCUUCUCUCCUCCAUCCCUUGAAACAGGUGCACCGCCCAGUGAGCACCUGCUUCUGCAGGGACACAACCACUGGCCCAAGAGUGGCCCGGAUGAGAACUGUGGCCUAAGCCUCUAGCCUAUGAUUUUUAACAAGACUGGAAUAAAAGUUUUGUUGAUGUGGA